UACGAAGGGGGCUAGCGUUGUUCGGAAUCACUGGGCGUAAAGGGCGCGUAGGCGGCCUGGCAAGUCGGGGGUGAAAGCCUGUGGCUCAACCACAGAAUGGCCUUCGAUACUGGUGGGCUUGAGACCGGAAGAGGUCAGUGGAACUGCGAGUGUAGAGGUGAAAUUCGUAGAUAUUCGCAAGAACACCAGUGGCGAAGGCGGCUGACUGGUCCGGUUCUGACGCUGAGGCGCGAAAGCGUGGGGAGCAAACAGG
rnacentral:rRNA from 1 species